rnacentral:lncRNA from 1 species
CACAGAUUAUGUAUCGGUCACGAAUAAAUUUUUUUAUAGGUCAUGGACUAUUCAUCGCUCAAAAAAUCAAAACUUUUAUUGAUCACAACUCAUUUAUUCAUUGCAAAUUAUCAAAUUAAUUAGCCACAAUUUUUCAUUGCAACUCAUUUUUAAAAGUUUGUAACCCAUUAAUAUGUUGACUAUGACCUUUUGUGACCAAGUGUGUUAAUUGUGAUCUAUUGUGAUCGGUAAUGUAUUGAAUAUGACCUAUUGUCUAACUACAAUAUGUUAUCACAAAUUAUAUCUGACAAAAAAUUAAGUGCAUAUUUGAUAUUGAUUUUUCUCUCCAAAAAAUCAAAUUUUUGACCGUUAUUUCACUAUUUCAGCCGCUAUUUUUUAUUUCUUCUCUCACAGAUAGGAUUAAAUUUUCUUUCUUAAUGUCAAAAAAUCAAUUCUCAAAAUCACCACCGAACAAGCCUUAAAUAGCCUUUGAACGGUUACUUCCGGUACAGGCAUA